AGAAUUGAAUAUCCAAACCCCUAUCUAGUUAGUGUGCUUCUUAGAAUACAAAUAGAAUUACAAAAUGUUUCAGUAAUCAAAAAGGGACAGCAUCGGCAAACAGUUGACAUCAAAAUUGUCUGCUCAUCAAAGAGGAAUGACAGAUCCUCCUUCAUCAACAUGUUUUCCUUAGGAAUGGUGCCAGGAUGCAGGGCAUAAGUGAGAGGACAGUUCCCUUGGUUAUGAGGUAACUAAAAAUAGCCACCUUUGAAAGCCAUCAGAGGUCACUUGUUUUGAAGAAAAUCAUCAGAAGAACUUUGAACUAUAAGAUAUUGACUAUUAAAUCAUGUUAUUUUCUUCAUUUGUCAAAGUUAUUGGGAUGUAGCAAAUACUUGAGACUUUGAAUUGAGUAGAUUUUGAGUAGAUUUAUGAAUGAAAUCAAAGGACACACAAAAACAGUGUAAUUCACCCAUCUGGAGACUCCACGUAUGAGUUUGAAAACUUUUAGUAUGUAUGCCAAUUAGUCCAUCCAGCCAAAUAGGCACAACAAUUUUCCGAUAAUAAGAAAAAUAAGACCAAGAAGCUAGCUGGAAUACUAAGAAAAACAACAGAGGGAGUUAAAUUCUUCAUUAAAAUUGACCACUUCUAGAGGCCUUGCAGGAAAUAUUAAAAUAAGUUCUUCAAUGAGAAUGAAAAUGAUAUAGGUCAGAAACUUGGAUCUGCAUGAAGAUACACCUUAAAAAAGGAAGAGCAUCAGAAAAAUGAAUAAGUGAAGGUCAAGUGCUGUGCUGUACUGAUUGAUAGAUUGUCUCCAGCAGGAAGUUUGACAAUGGACAACCUAGAAGCAGAUGUGCCUGAUAAAUGUAAAUGGUAGCUUCUUUGUGGCCCUUCCACCAGAAGUGAAGAAGCCUGGUGCAGAGCUUCUACUUGACCUAUGAUAGAUAUGCUGCUGGAGAAGAAAUCAACCUCCUGGUUCCCACCCAUAUCUUGCUCUGGUUAGUCACAAUCAGAAUCUUCACAACCACAAUCAGAAUCUUCCCACAGCCCUACCUGCAACACCUGCUUGUCUCUGCCAUUACAAUAUAAGCCUGAGGACCUCAACAGAUGCACCUGCCCAAUCUUAAACUUUCCAGCAAUCUGAAUUGUGAGCCAAAUAAUUUUUUUAUAAAUUAUCCAGCUUCAAGUAUUAUACCAACAAAAAAAAGGAAAUGCAAUGAGUCAAUAUACUUACUGAGAUUGCAGAAGAGACUGAACACUGCGCUAGGCUCUGAAGAGAAAGAUGAAAAAGAAGAAAGUGCUCCUGAGUAUAUGACUACUUGUACUUGCUAGCACUGAGGCAAGUACAAACUCUAGGCAUCAGGCUUUUGGUCUCACUCUUAGCGAAUUUGAACACUGGCUUUUUUGUUGGGCUUCCAUUCUUCUCUCAGCGCAAGAAUACCAACGUUUAUGACCCAGGAAGCACCAACUUAUACUUCACAGAGCUAAGAAACAGCAUUUCGCCAUGUCACGCAGGCUGGUCUUCAACUCCUGGACUCAAGCUAUCCACGGGCCUCGGCCUCCCAAAGUGCUAGGAUUACAGGCAUGAGCCACUAUGUCCGGCUUGGAGUUUUUAGUCUCAUCAAACCAACUCACCCAAAUGUCCCUUGGUGACAAAAAGUUUUCUGAAAGAUUAAGUAAUCUUUGUUUCCCAAGCCUGACAAAAUAAAAAGUUUUCUGUCUCUC
rnacentral:lncRNA from 1 species